GAUGAAGCACUUCAGCUGCAGGCGCCACAGUUUUACAACACAGAGCAGGGACAAGGUUCUGCACCCAUGAAAAAAACGGGGUUAAAAGAAGAAACAUCCCUGCAUAUUUAAUCACUUAAAAAAGACAGCGAGGACUGAAAUGGAAAUACAAAGAGUCACUGGACGGUCCUGCAACGUUAGUGAUGUGUAAAAGUAACGGAGGAGGUGGAAAAGAUGAGAGAGUUUCCUCCUCUUCCAGCAAACGUGGCCUCUGUGACGUCUCGACUCUCCGUCUCUUCUGACAGCGAAGAUUUUCUUCAAAUCUUUCAUCUCUGCCCAACAGCUGUGCAGACGAUCUAACGGGAGCACGAACGAAAGACGUGAGCUGUGACUGUUCCUGGAAAAGAAAUGGCCGGGUUUAGUGACCCACUGAAGUGCAGACGACCACUGCUUUGCCCGUGACCUCAUCAACGUAGGGGACCUUGUUGAUCAUGGCAACGGCGUCAUUCAAGACAACGACCACUGAUUCUCCAGUUCAGGUUCUGCCUCCUGAGGUCGAGCUUCACUGAACUUUGAAUGAACAGGUGAACAGCUCUUUGUGCAGCAGUGGUGGUGCAGCUCCAGCUUUCUGCAGAUGGUCUUUAUUUUUACAGUUUCAGAAAGAAAGCUGCAACCAGCAUUACAACAGGAAACCGAACAGCCCAUUCAAACAGACUGGAAUGGACACUACACUAGUAAAUUCAAGGGGCUGAGCAUCAGUUUCAUUUGACUGUGGUAUACCCCAAGGAUCUGUGUUUGGUACCCUGCUCUUCUUUACACGCAUCUCUCUCCACAUUUCCUGUCUUGUACUUGAUCACAGCUGUAGUUGAUCCCGAACUGUUCUUCUUUACAUCACUUGACGUUAUGUUUGUUUUUCUUAA